rnacentral:rRNA from 1 species
GGGUUGUGAGGUUAAGCGACUAAGCGUACACGGUGGAUGCCCUGGCAGUCAGAGGCGAUGAAGGACGUGCUAAUCUGCGAAAAGCGUCGGUAAGGUGAUAUGAACCGUUAUAACCGGCGAUGUCCGAAUGGGGAAACCCAGUGUGAUUCGUCACACUAUCGUUAACUGAAUACAUAGGUUAACGAGGCGAACCGGGGGAACUGAAACAUCUAAGUACCCCGAGGAAAAGAAAUCAACCGAGAUUCCCCCAGUAGCGGCGAGCGAACGGGGAGCAGCCCAGAGUCUGAAUCAGCUUGUGUGUUAGUGGAACGGUCUGGAAAGUCCGACGGUACAGGGUGAUAGUCCCGUACACCAAAAUGCACAGGGUGUGAACUCGAAGAGUAGGGCGGGACACGUGGUAUCCUGUCUGAAUAUGGGGGGACCAUCCUCCAAGGCUAAAUACUCCUGACUGACCGAUAGUGAACCAGUACCGUGAGGGAAAGGCGAAAAGAACCCCGGCGAGGGGAGUGAAAAAGAACCUGAAACCGUGUACGUACAAGCAGUGGGAGCACCUUCGGGUGUGACUGCGUACCUUUUGUAUAAUGGGUCAGCGACUUAUAUUCUGUAGCAAGGUUAACCGUAUAGGGGAGCCGCAGGGAAACCGAGUCUUAACUGGGCGUUAAGUUGCAGGGUAUAGACCCGAAACCCGGUGAUCUAGCCAUGGGCAGGUUGAAGGUUGGGUAACACUAACUGGAGGACCGAACCGACUAAUGUUGAAAAAUUAGCGGAUGACUUGUGGCUGGGGGUGAAAGGCCAAUCAAACCGGGAGAUAGCUGGUUCUCCCCGAAAGCUAUUUAGGUAGCGCCUCGUGAAUUCAUCUUCGGGGGUAGAGCACUGUUUCGGCUAGGGGGUCAUCCCGACUUACCAACCCGAUGCAAACUACGAAUACCGAAGAAUGUUAUCACGGGAGACACACGGCGGGUGCUAACGUCCGUCGUGAAGAGGGAAACAACCCAGACCGCCAGCUAAGGUCCCAAAGUCAUGGUUAAGUGGGAAACGAUGUGGGAAGGCAUAGACAGCCAGGAUGUUGGCUUAGAAGCAGCCAUCAUUUAAAGAAAGCGUAAUAGCUCACUGGUCGAGUCGGCCUGCGCGGAAGAUGUAACGGGGCUAAACCAUGCACCGAAGCUGCGGCAGCGACACUAUGUGUUGUUGGGUAGGGGAGCGUUCUGUAAGCCUGCGAAGGUGUGCUGUGAGGCAUGCUGGAGGUAUCAGAAGUGCGAAUGCUGACAUAAGUAACGAUAAAGCGGGUGAAAAGCCCGCUCGCCGGAAGACCAAGGGUUCCUGUCCAACGUUAAUCGGGGCAGGGUGAGUCGACCCCUAAGGCGAGGCCGAAAGGCGUAGUCGAUGGGAAACAGGUUAAUAUUCCUGUACUUGGUGUUACUGCGAAGGGGGGACGGAGAAGGCUAUGUUAGCCGGGCGACGGUUGUCCCGGUUUAAGCAUGUAGGCUGGUUGUCCAGGCAAAUCCGGAUAAUCAAGGCUGAGGUGUGAUGACGAGGCACUACGGUGCUGAAGUAACAAAUGCCCUGCUUCCAGGAAAAGCCUCUAAGCAUCAGGUAACAUCAAAUCGUACCCCAAACCGACACAGGUGGUCAGGUAGAGAAUACCAAGGCGCUUGAGAGAACUCGGGUGAAGGAACUAGGCAAAAUGGUGCCGUAACUUCGGGAGAAGGCACGCUGGUGUGUAGGUGAAGUCCCUGCGGAUGGAGCUGAGACCAGUCGAAGAUACCAGCUGGCUGCAACUGUUUAUUAAAAACACAGCACUGUGCAAACACGAAAGUGGACGUAUACGGUGUGACGCCUGCCCGGUGCCGGAAGGUUAAUUGAUGGGGUUAUCCGUAAGGAGAAGCUCUUGAUCGAAGCCCCGGUAAACGGCGGCCGUAACUAUAACGGUCCUAAGGUAGCGAAAUUCCUUGUCGGGUAAGUUCCGACCUGCACGAAUGGCGUAAUGAUGGCCAGGCUGUCUCCACCCGAGACUCAGUGAAAUUGAACUCGCUGUGAAGAUGCAGUGUACCCGCGGCAAGACGGAAAGACCCCGUGAACCUUUACUAUAGCUUGACACUGAACAUUGAGCCUUGAUGUGUAGGAUAGGUGGGAGGCUUUGAAGCGUGGACGCCAGUCUGCGUGGAGCCAACCUUGAAAUACCACCCUUUAAUGUUUGAUGUUCUAACGUUGGCCCCUUACCGGGGUUGCGGACAGUGUCUGGUGGGUAGUUUGACUGGGGCGGUCUCCUCCCAAAGCGUAACGGAGGAGCACGAAGGUUAGCUAAUCCUGGUCGGACAUCAGGAGGUUAGUGCAAUGGCAUAAGCUAGCUUGACUGCGAGCGUGACGGCGCGAGCAGGUGCGAAAGCAGGUCAUAGUGAUCCGGUGGUUCUGAAUGGAAGGGCCAUCGCUCAACGGAUAAAAGGUACUCCGGGGAUAACAGGCUGAUACCGCCCAAGAGUUCAUAUCGACGGCGGUGUUUGGCACCUCGAUGUCGGCUCAUCACAUCCUGGGGCUGAAGUAGGUCCCAAGGGUAUGGCUGUUCGCCAUUUAAAGUGGUACGCGAGCUGGGUUUAGAACGUCGUGAGACAGUUCGGUCCCUAUCUGCCGUGGGCGCUGGAGAAUUGAGGGGGGCUGCUCCUAGUACGAGAGGACCGGAGUGGACGCAUCACUGGUGUUCGGGUUGUCAUGCCAAUGGCACUGCCCGGUAGCUAAAUGCGGAAGAGAUAAGUGCUGAAAGCAUCUAAGCACGAAACUUGCCCCGAGAUGAGUUCUCCCUGAGACUUUAAGUCUCCUGAAGGAACGUUAAAGACGAUGACGUUGAUAGGCCGGGUGUGUAAGCGCAGCGAUGCGUUGAGCUAACCGGUACUAAUGAACCGUGAGGCUUAACCUUACAACGCCGAAG